rnacentral:rRNA from 1 species
GUCGAACGCGAAAGUGGAGCAAUCCAUGAGUAGAGUGGCAAACGGGUGAGUAACACGUGGGUGACCUGCCUUCGAGUGGGGGAUAACGUCCCGAAAGGGACGCUAAUACCGCAUGACAUCCUGCCCUUGAACGGGUGGAGAUCAAAGCUGGGGAUCGCAAGACCUAGCGCUUGGAGAGGGGCCCGCGUCCGAUUAGCUAGUUGGUGAGGUAACGGCUCACCAAGGCGACGAUCGGUAUCCGGCCUGAGAGGGCGGACGGACACACUGGGACUGAGACACGGCCCAGACUCCUACGGGAGGCAGCAGUGGGGAAUUGUUCGCAAUGGGCGCAAGCCUGACGACGCAACGCCGCGUGGAGGAUGAAGAUCUUCGGGUCGUAAACUCCUUUCGAUCGAGACGAACGGCUCUCGUGCUAAUCAGCGAGAGAGUGACGGUACCGAGAGAAGAAGCCCCGGCUAACUCCGUGCCAGCAGCCGCGGUAAUACGGGGGGGGCAAGCGUUGUUCGGAAUUACUGGGCGUAAAGGGCUCGUAGGCGGCCAACUAAGUCAGACGUGAAAUCCCUCGGCUUAACCGGGGAACUGCGUCUGAUACUGGAUGGCUUGAGGUUGGGAGAGGGAUGCGGAAUUCCAGGUGUAGCGGUGAAAUGCGUAGAUAUCUGGAGGAACACCGGUGGCGAAGGCGGCAUCCUGGACCAAUUCUGACGCUGAGGAGCG